rnacentral:rRNA from 1 species
GACGAACGCUGGCGGCGUGCUUAACACAUGCAAGUCGAACGGUAAGGGCCUGCUUUUGUGGGGUGCUCGAGUGGCGAACGGGUGAGUAACGCGUGGGUAACCUGCCCGUGACUUUGGGAUAACUUCAGGAAACGGUGGCUAAUACCGGAUAGGAGCUGCUGCCGCAUGGCGGGGGUUGGAAAGGUUCGGCGGUUGGGGUUGGACUCGCGGCUUAUCAGCUUGUUGGUGGGGUAGUGGCAUACCAAGGCUUUGACGGGUAGCCGGCCUGAGAGGGUGACCGGCCACAUUGGGACUGAGAUACGGCCCAGACUCCUACGGGAGGAAGCAGUGGGGAAUAUUGCACAAUGGGCGGAAGCCUGAUGCAGCAACGCCGCGUGCGGGAGGACGGCCUUCGGGUUGUAAACCGCUUUCGCCUGUAACGAAGCGUGAGUGACGGUAAUGGGUAAAGAAGCACCGGCUAACUACGUG